GAUGAACGCUGGCGGCGUGCCUAAUACAUGCAAGUCGAGCGAACAGACGAGGAGCUUGCUCCUCUGACGUUAGCGGCGGACGGGUGAGUAACACGUGGAUAACCUACCUAUAAGACUGGGAUAACUUCGGGAAACCGGAGCUAAUACCGGAUAAUAUAUUGAACCGCAUGGUUCAAUAGUGAAAGACGGUUUUGCUGUCACUUAUAGAUGGAUCCGCGCCGCAUUAGCUAGUUGGUAAGGUAUCGGCUUACCAAGGCAACGAUGCGUAGCCGACCUGAGAGGGUGAUCGGCCACACUGGAACUGAGACACGGUCCAGACUCCUACGGGAGGCAGCAGUAGGGAAUCUUCCGCAUUGGGCGAAAGCUUGACGGAGCAACGCCGCGUGAGUGAUGAAGGUCUUCGGAUCGUAAAACUCUGUUAUUAGGGAAGAACAAAUGUGUAAGUAACUAUGCACGUCUUGACGGUACCUAAUCAGAAAGCCACGGCUAACUACGUG
rnacentral:rRNA from 1 species